UUAAGAGACCUAGAAGUAGACUGAACCUAAGAUGGGACCAUAAUAUUAGGAAAUUAGCAAGGAUAAAUUGGGUCUACAUAGCCAACAAUAGACAAAGAAUGAUGAUGAGACGAUAAGUUUUAGCUUUUAACCAACUGAAAACUGAAGUAGAUAAAACAUGGAUAAAACCAGGGCAAACCUAUAUAUUCUUAAUAUAAUGAUAAAAUCACGAACAAUAUUCAUUAUUGUCAAUGUUGGAUUGGUUAAUCAUUUGAGAUUUUUAAAAUAAGGACUUAAAAUAAGGAACAUCACAAGAGAAACAAUUGGAUAUAGAUUGGAA